rnacentral:rRNA from 1 species
UGGCUCAGGACGAACGCUGGCGGCGUGCCUAAUACAUGCAAGUCGAACGCUUCUUUUUCCACCGGAGCUUGCUCCACCGGAAAAAGAGGAGUGGCGAACGGGUGAGUAACACGUGGGUAACCUGCCCAUCAGAAGGGGAUAACACUUGGAAACAGGUGCUAAUACCGUAUAACAAUCGAAACCGCAUGGUUUUGAUUUGAAAGGCGCUUUCGGGUGUCGCUGAUGGAUGGACCCGCGGUGCAUUAGCUAGUUGGUGAGGUAACGGCUCACCAAGGCGACGAUGCAUAGCCGACCUGAGAGGGUGAUCGGCCACAUUGGGACUGAGACACGGCCCAAACUCCUACGGGAGGCAGCAGUAGGGAAUCUUCGGCAAUGGACGAAAGUCUGACCGAGCAACGCCGCGUGAGUGAAGAAGGUUUUCGGAUCGUAAAACUCUGUUGUUAGAGAAGAACAAGGAUGAGAGUAACUGUUCAUCCCUUGACGGUAUCUAACCAGAAAGCCACGGCUAACUACGUGCCAGCAGCCGCGGUAAUACGUAGGUGGCAAGCGUUGUCCGGAUUUAUUGGGCGUAAAGCGAGCGCAGGCGGUUUCUUAAGUCUGAUGUGAAAGCCCCCGGCUCAACCGGGGAGGGUCAUUGGAAACUGGGAGACUUGAGUGCAGAAGAGGAGAGUGGAAUUCCAUGUGUAGCGGUGAAAUGCGUAGAUAUAUGGAGGAACACCAGUGGCGAAGGCGGCUCUCUGGUCUGUAACUGACGCUGAGGCUCGAAAGCGUGGGGAGCAAACAGGAUUAGAUAC